GUGCUUAAUUCUGCAGCACAUAUACUAAAAUUAGAAUAAUAUGAAGAUUAGCAUGGCCCCUUCCCAAGGAUAACACGCAAAUUCGUGAAGCGUUCCGUAUUUUU
ensembl:snRNA U6 U6 spliceosomal RNA